GGAUGGGUGGCCGAGCGGUUUAAGGCACCGGUCUUGAAAACCGGCGUGGGGUUCCGCCCCACCGUGGGUUCGAAUCCCACCCCAUCCG
rnacentral:tRNA from 2 species